GUGCUUGCAUCAGCAGCACAUAUACUAAAAUUAGAAUGAUAUAGAGAUUAGCAUGGCUGUUAUACAAGCAUGACAUGCAAAUUCGUGAAGGAUUCCAUAUUUUU